GGUGAAGUUACAAAGAGCGUAUGGGGGAUGCCUUGGCACUGGAAGGCGAUGAAGGACGUGGUUACCUGCGAUAAGCCUGGGUGAGUCGGAAGCUGACUUUGACCCCGGGAUCUCCGAAUGGGAAAACCCACCGAGGGUAAUGCCUCGGUAUCGUAUACUGAAUACAUAGGUAUACGAAGCAAACCCGCUGAACUGAAACAUCUAAGUAGGCGGAGGAAGAUAAAACAAACGUGAUACCCUGAGUAGUGGCGAGCGAAACGGGUAGAGCCUAAACCAUUUGUGCUGUCAAGCGUGCAAGCGUUGGCGCAAGGGUGUUAUAGGACGGACCGGUGAUCUGCACGAUCAUCAAAGAGUAAAAAAUCAUUAUCAUAGCUAAAGUACCUGGAACGGUACACCAUAGAGGGCGAUCGUCCCGUAAGCGAAAUGGUAAUGACUCUUGUCUGUAUCCUGAGUACGACGGAAUAAGUGAAAGUCUGUCGGAAGUUGCGAGAACCAUCUCGUAAGGCUAAAUACUCUCCAGUGACCGAUAGUGAACUAGUACCGUGAGGGAAAGGCGAAAAGAACCCUUUAGAAGGGAGUGAAAUAGUACCUGAAACCGUGCGCUUACAAACGGUGGGAGCGAGCCCGGAUUUAUCCGGAGGAGUGACCGCGUGCCUUUUGUUUAAUGAGCCUACGAGUUACUCAUCCGUUGCAAGGAUAAGCAAUUAUGUUGCGAAUCCGUAGCGAAAGCGAGUCUGA
rnacentral:rRNA from 1 species